GAAACGCGAUAGUUAAUGUGAAUUGCAGAAUUCAGUGAAUCAUCGAGUCUUUGAACGCACAUUGCGCCCAUAGGUAUUCCUUUGGGCAUGCCUGUUUGAGCGUCAUUACAACCCUCAGCUAACCGCUGGUUUUGAACCUGAACGGGUGACACCGCGCCGGUUUUAAAGUUGUAAGCUCUGCUGGCCGCUCUGCCCAACCAGAACAUAGUAAGCACUACUUGUCCGGGUGAAGCUGAACGGUACGGCCUGAACAAAACCUACCCACUCUCAAGGUUUGACCUCAGAUCAGACAAGGAUACCCGCUGAACUUAAGC
rnacentral:misc_RNA from 1 species